ensembl:snoRNA
AAGCCAGUCAAUGAAUCUGCUUACCUGAUUGUGUUUCUGCAGAAAUUUUUUAUAACUGGUGAUAGCAAUGCCAUUUUACGAGCCUUAAUGACGUUAGGGUCUUUAAGGUCCCUGAAAGUGGCUAUAAAA